rnacentral:rRNA from 1 species
UGCAAGUCGAACGGUAACAGGUUAAGCUGACGAGUGGCGAACGGGUGAGUAAUGUAUCGGAACGUGCCCAGUCGUGGGGGAUAACUGCUCGAAAGAGCAGCUAAUACCGCAUACGACCUGAGGGUGAAAGCGGGGGAUCGCAAGACCUCGCGCGAUUGGAGCGGCCGAUAUCAGAUUAGGUAGUUGGUGAGGUAAAGGCUCACCAAGCCGACGAUCUGUAGCUGGUCUGAGAGGACGACCAGCCACACUGGGACUGAGACACGGCCCAGACUCCUACGGAAGGCAGCAGUGGGGAAUUUUGGACAAUGGGCGCAAGCCUGAUCCAGCCAUGCCGCGUGCGGGAAGAAGGCCUUCGGGUUGUAAACCGCUUUUGUCAGGGAAGAAAAGGUUCUGGCUAAUACCUGGGACUCAUGACGGUACCUGAAGAAUAAGCACCGGCUAACUACGUGCCAGCAGCCGCGGUAAUACGUAGGGUGCAAGCGUUAAUCGGAAUUACUGGACGUAAAGCGUGCGCAGGCGGUUAUGCAAGACAGAGGUGAAAUCCCCGGGCUCAACCUGGGAACUGCCUUUGUGACUGCAUGGCUAGAGUACGGUAGAGGGGGAUGGAAUUCCGCGUGUAGCAGUGAAAUGCGUAGAUAUGCGGAGGAACACCGAUGGCGAAGGCAAUCCCCUGGACCUGUACUGACGCUCAUGCACGAAAGCGUGG